UACAGAGGUCCCGAGCGUUGUUCGGAUUCAUUGGGCGUAAAGGGUGCGUAGGCGGCGGGGAAAGUCUGAUGUGAAAUCCUGGGGCUCAACCCUGGAACUGCAUUGGAUACUUCCUUGCUAGAGUACUGGAGAGGAAACUGGAAUUUACGGUGUAGUAGUGAAAUGCGUAGAGAUCGUAAGGAAGACCAGUGGCGAAGGCGAGUUUCUGGACAGUUACUGACGCUGAGGCACGAAGGCCAGGGGAGCAAACGGG
rnacentral:rRNA from 1 species